UUGUAUUUUCUAACAGUACUUUUGUGUGCCGCUUUCAAACAUUUACUUCAAAACUGUUUUAAAUUAGAAUCAUUUGUGAACUGAAACUAAUGAAGACAAUACGGCCAACAACGGAGGGAAAGGAAGACAAUGCAAUGAAGCACUGAGGUGGUCCGGCAGCUGGAAUAAGACUCACCUGAGCCUGUUGGGCAAAGCGUGCAUUCGUUGAUACCCCAGGCUUUCCCGAUCCCCCGGCAGCACAUCUCUUGACUCCGCAGACCAGGCAGAGGAGAACUGCACUGUGGGACAGAAAGAAGACGUAUACGUUCAUUUACUACAUUCACUAGAAGUAUUCACUAUGUAUUUUGUAAACAGUUAUGAGUUUCGAAGUUGAAAGUUGUUGAACUAUUUAUAUUCUCUUGUGGGACUUUAUCUAUAUGUUAAAAUCUAAACUUAUGUAAUUUAUUCAUGUUUAUUUUUUUAUAUGUAUAAACAUAAAUUGCAUCAAAGUGUUUUAUAUGGCGUUUUAUUGUUCAUUGAAAAUUAAAAUAUUGCAAGUUUUUAUGGAUUCCUUUUGUAUUGCAUUUCGAUCCUUAAUAAAACUUAAACUUUUGAUUCUUA